rnacentral:rRNA from 1 species
CUACGGGUGGCAGCAGUGGGGAAUAUUGCACAAUGGAGGAAACUUUGAUGCAGCAACGCCGCGUGGAGGAUGACACUUUUCGGAGCGUAAACUCCUUCUAUAUAGGAAGAAGAUGACGGUACUAUAUGAAUAAGCGCCGGCUAACUCCGUGCCAGCAGCCGCGGUAAUACGGAGGGCGCAAGCGUUACUCGGAAUCACUGGGCGUAAAGAGCGUGUAGGCGGAUUAAAAAGUCAGAAGUGAAAUCCUAUAGCUUAACUAUAGAACUGCUUCUGAAACUCUUAAUCUAGAAUAUGGGAGAGGUAGAUGGAAUUUCUGGUGUAGGGGUAAAGUCCGUAGAGAUCAGAAGGAAUACCGAUUGCGAAGGCGAUCUACUAGAACAUUAUUGACGCUGAGACGCGAAAGCGUGGGGAGCAAACAGGAUUAGAUACCCCAGUAGUC